UGGGGCUUGCUCCUUUUCUUCCCCGGCGGACGGGUGAGUAAUCCUGGGCAACCUGCCCUGCAGACUGGUUAACUUCGGGACUUUCGACCUUAUACCGGAAUUCCCGAAGCCGCUGGUUUUCGGUUGAAAGGCGGCUUUUAGCUCUCACUGCGCGAGGGGCCCGCGGCGUCUGCCUAGUUGGUGAGGUAACGGCUCACCUUGGCGACCAUCCGUAGCCGACCUGACAGGGUGACCGGCCACACUGGGACUGAAACACGGCCCAAACCCCAACCGGAGGCAUUUUUGGGGAAUCUCCCUCAUUGGACCAAUUUCUGAAAGAUCACCCCCUCGGGAGCGAAGAU
rnacentral:rRNA from 1 species